rnacentral:tRNA from 1 species
GUUCAAGUAGAUUAAGUUUUAAAAUUGUAAAGCUGUUAACUUUAAGAUGAUGUAUUGUCCUUGAUCG